AUACGUAGGGUGCAAGCGUUAAUCGGAAUUACUGGGCGUAAAGCGUGCGCAGGCGGUUCGGAAAGAAGGAUGUGAAAUCCCAGGGCUCAACCUUGGAACUGCAUUCUUAACUACCGAACUAGAGUAUGUCAGAGGGGGGUAGAAUUCCGCGUGUAGCAGUGAAAUGCGUAGAUAUGCGGAGGAAUACCGAUGGCGAAGGCAGCCCCCUGGGAUAAUACUGACGCUCAUGCACGAAAGCGUGGGUAGCAAACAGGAUUAGAUACCCUGGUAGUCCACGCCCUAAACGAUGUCAACUAGCUGUUGGGCCCUUCGGGGCUUAGUAGCGUAGCUAACGCGUGAAGUUGACCGCCUGGGGAGUACGGUCGCAAGAUUAAA
rnacentral:rRNA from 1 species